rnacentral:rRNA from 1 species
GACAUAGGUCACAAACGUUAUCCGGAAUUAUUGGGCGUAAAGGAUGCGUAGAUGGUAAAAUAAGUUAUUGAUGGUAAAUCAAGGCUCAACCUUAGCGGAAGUUGAUAAUACUGUUUUACUUGAGGGCUGGAGAGGUUAACGGAACUCCAUGUUGAGCGGUGAAAUGCGUCGAUAUAUGGAAGAACACCAAAAGGCGAAGGCAGUUAACUAUUCUGUUACUGACAUUGAGGCACGAAAGCGUGGGGAGCAAAACGG